GCCCUCGGGGCUGCAUGUUGGAGAGUGGCCAACAAGGGUGGAUCCCAUCACAGGGUCUGCCCCAGCUUGUGUGAGUACACAUAUGCACGUCCCCAAAGCUUUCGUGCAUUCCCGCGUGUGCUGGCACUGGACAGGUUCUCGGCUCACAGCACAAGGCUCAACCUUCUUGCACUCCACCCUCAAGCAGCCUAUGUUUCAUCGGGGUAGACAGAUAAUGAACCGUAGGCAAACAGGAAGAGUCUUUGGGAGUGGCACAAGGACAACUCUUAUUUACCUGCAAUAAUGCAUGCCUGCACCAAUUCUCAGCCCCCACACUGAGCCACCAACCUGAGAGGCUUGAAGAGCCACAAAGAGGUCAUGUGAGGAUUUCUUUCUUCACUGCCUCUUCAUCUUCCAGGCUGGUGAGCACGACCUGAACCCCCUGUUCUCAUGAGUUUGUCCUUCCCCCCCCCCCGCCCCCGCCACUGCCCACUGUUGCCCUCCGGGUUAAGGUGUGCUGGGCACACACCCAGAGACCUUUGCACUGCAGUUGGGAAAGUUAUUUGUCGAGAAACUUUUUGCAUCUUUCUUUUCCUCUUGCUGCGGGCUUCUGCCUACAUAACUCUGCAAACUGCAAUGCUGGUUUCCUGUAAAAGCCAAGGGCCUGAAAUAAUGGUUCCAGUGAAGAGACUCCUACGUUCUAGAGUGGCUUUCAGACCACCCAGGAGGAACUUGCCAAGGAGCUGGCCCACCACUGCUGACUUCCUGAGCUCUGGAUGCUCCUCCGCCCCCAGAACAUACAGGAACACUCCGGCGGGGAGGAGUUCUCCAGGGAGGUGGUCCCUGGGCACCGAGCCCCCUCCCACCUCCGCACUCCGGCCCCUCCCACCUCCGCACUCCUGGUCCCUCCUCCAAUCAGAGAGGCGUAGGUGGUGCUUUUCUCUCAUCCGACAUCCGUUGGGCGGGGCUUUAAGGAGCGCUCAGAGAGCCGGGCGCGCGUGUUCUAGACACAGAGGUCUGGUGUGUGACUCGCCCUUACAAAAUCUCAAGGGUUUUGAGAGCCGGCUUGAAGUGGCUUUGGCAGCAGAAGAGAGGACAGUAGAACUGCACUUGGGUUGAUUAUGGGACAAAGGAUGCAGAGGUGUUUUCCGGAGACCACAAUGCCCUCAGCCCUCACCAAGGGAGGGAGAGGCUUUAACUUUGAAUACAGUUAAAAGUUUUGGGGUUUUUGUGUGUGUGCCUUUUAGGGCCCCACCCAGGGCAUAUGGAGGUUCCCAGGCUAGGGGUAAAAUCAGAGCUACAGCUGCUGGCCUACACCACAGCCACAGCAAUGUCAGAUCCUUAACCCACUGAACGAGGCCAGGGAUCGAACCCACAUCCUCAUGGUUCCUAGUCUGGUUCCCACUGAGCCACGAUGGGAACUCCUCCAGUUAAUUUUGAUUAUUAUACUGAAGAAUCUUGAUAUUUACCAAAAUAAGACCAGGAGAUCACUGAGACCAUAAGACUGUUCUCAGGAGUGAGCAGAUAAGCCGAGAGGACUGGCCAAGAUUUCAUCCAGUGGUAGCAACGAGUCCCCCACGAACAGGUUGGAAGGAGGCUGUAGAAGGUGUGAUGGGGUCGCUUAGUCAUUUCACCUAUGACCUUGGGACGGCACAGUUACAGGCCUUUCAUGUCCAAUGAGGCAGGACCUACUGUUAUUUUAUAGAUGAGGAGGCCGAGGUGCCAGGGUCUUGAGAAGAUAGAUUGGAGGUUUGGGGGUGGGUGGGGCUUGUGGCAGCUCCAGGAUUUCAAUAUAAGACAGACAGCCGGGUCUCUAGGCAACAGGAAGAGAUGAGACACUUGUACUGGAGCUGCUCCCAUGAUAAGCAGGCCAUUUUCCUCCUGGAUUGAUGUCUAUGCAGAGUAGCUUGGGAGGGAGGAGGCCUGUAGCCACUGGGGGUAGAGAAAAUGAAAGCCCCCAACAAAGCCGGCUCUGGGCUCCCACUGGGUGAAACCCAGGGCAGAGCACCGUCCUGGGGUGGGUCUGGCUACUCUGACCUUACACUUGGGAUGGGCGGGGGGGUGCUAGGAGGAAUUCAGGAGAUGACAAAGCUGGGAAAUUUACCUUGGAGUGGGGUUGGAGAGAAGAGAGAUUGCAGGAAGAUGCCCAGAUUUCUCCUUCGGAAAAGAAACAAGUUGCAUGCAGGUGCAGAGAAAAUGAGAAAACAUCAAAUCUCAGAGGAAAAAAAAAAAAAAAAAAAAAAAAAAAAGAAGAAGUGAAAUUCAGGAGGCAUCUAGCAACAGGAGCCCCUGGGAAACAGGGGGCGGGGGGCAGGAACUGGAGAGACAGUGGGAAAACCUCGGCUCAGAGCUUCUACUCAGCACUCCCGCUUCUCAUCAGCACCAUCCCCCCCUCAAGGAACAAGGUGCCUUCCAGCUCCUUCUUGGUCUCGCUGCAUCCUCCUGAGAAACACCGCUCUUGCCCUAGGUCAUCCUUUAGAUGUUUACACAGGUUUGAAGAGGAAACGAAAGGCCCAUCCCUAGAAGCUCACCACCCCAAGGGCUGCUGGUUGCUCCUUUACAGCAGAAGGGGGAACCCCGCCCCUCCAUCACGCCUGCUUGGCUGGGACUCCAGGAAAUGACCUAUAGAUUCCAAGAGAUAGCCCUCAUUUGUUUAACAUUUUACUGGCCCCACCUGGCUCCAGGGAUAUUUACAAGUAUCCUUUAUUUGGCCCAAAGCCCCAGCUAAGCCUCCGGCGUGUGCCACAGUCCUGCACAUCAGGUGCCCAGACUUGGGGGACAAAGACUGGGGCAGGUCUGGAGUCCCAGAGGUGCCCAUUCCUGUGGGUCCUUGGACAAGUGUCUACUUCCCUCUGGCAAGCAGUUUUCGUUCUGUGAAGUGGGCAUGCAGUUCUCACCCCGGGGUCUUAGGAGGUGGUUGUGAAGAUGGGCGGAAGGGCUUUCCUCGUGGGGAGGAGCACGUGGGGUAAAGACGUGGACAUUAUUCCAAAUGGAGGAGUCCCUUCCUCGUAAGAGUUGAUGGUGGCUCUCAGGUUUGUGGCUGGGUCCUGCACCAGAUGUGGGUGUGGGACCAGAGCACAGGAGGGAGGUGUUCUUGGGACCCUCCUGGCUAGCUGUCCUGGUCCCCAGGGGCCAGGGGAGAGAUGUGGCUGGGUCAGCAUGAGCCAUGCUCAGGGCUGAUCUGACCGUGUCCCUCUGUGUGGUGCUAAGACCUUCAGCAUCCUCCAUCCCUCCUCCACCCUGGGGCAGGUGACACACGGGGAAUGAUCAGACACUUGCAGCUGCUAAGUAGCCGAGCUGAGAUUUCCAUUCCACACCCUUUUGGGUCCCGGCUCCUUCCUCUACCCUCACUUUUCCAGCAUCAACAGCACUCACACCCCCCGCCCCUGAUGUCAGGGAUACCACCUCAGCAAGUAGACCCAUGAUGCUAGCAAUCCAGAAGCAUCUUGUUCGAGAAUCAGCUUCUACUGGUAUUUAUAUCAGACAACUGACAGUUCCUUUAAAACCUAAACCACCUUAUAAGUCUUUUGGGUUAAAAAGCUUUCUAAAUCCUAUCACACGCACCUCUACUGCCUCAGUGGAAUACAGACAAUCCUCGAGUUUAUAAUAAACUUCACUUCCACUGCAGAUACUGCAUUGAAAUAACAUCAAUUGAAUUUGAUCUCCUCAUAGACACGAUAUCAUAAUGAUGGGCUAUGUACCUCACCAAGGAUCCAAGGCUCACUUUUAAUAAGAAUGAACAGGAGUUCCCAUUGUGGCUCAGCAGACGUUUGACCAUGAUGUGGAUUUCUGCGUGUUCUUCCUGCUUGAGGGAUCGCCCGUAUGAGGCUGCCUGCAUUUUCUCUUCCAAGUCACCGUCCUCCAUGGUGCCUCAGGUUUUUGGUCCAGUAAAAUGGGCCUGAUCAUUCUGGCUGCUUUCCACACAUCUCUGUGGGAUGGAAUGGUGAGCACGUGACUGCCCUGACCCUGUCAUUCAUCCAAUACUUCCUUCGUCUUACACACGCUCUUAGGUGCCUCUUCCGUUCGGGGCGCUGAAGCUCCAAAGGUGAGUCGGAGGGUGUUGUGUCUUUGUGUAGUUUAAGUUGGGAGGGCCAGACACAGGGGAGCGUGGAAUUGCAGCCCUGUGCGAUAUCAUGAUGGUCCAUUAGGUAGAAGGUGGUGAGAAAACUUUCUCACUGGAGGUGAGAAAACUAGUCACUUAGAAGUCAGGCUGAACAGGGAUGGAGAAUAAGGCAUCAGAUAUGGGUCUUAAAAUUCAAGUAGAUGUCAGAGUUCCUGCUGUGGCUCAGCAGGUUAAGGACCCGACAUAGGGUCCAUGAGGAUGUGGGUUCGAUCCCCGGCCUUGCUCAUUGGGUUAAGGAUCAGGCUUUGCCGUGUGUCAUAGUUCACAGAUACAGCUCAGCUCUAGCACUGCCGUGGCUGUGGUGUAGGCUGGCAGCUGCAGCUCUGGGAACUUCCAUAUGCCGCAGGUGUGUGGCCAUAGGGGGUAAAAAAAUUCAAGCAAGCGUGUGUGUGUGUGUGUGUGUGUGUGUGUGUGCGCGCGCGCGCGUAAUUUGGGAACAAGAAAGAAAUUAGGAGGGGAUGGAGCUAGAGGUGAGUAAUGGAAUGGAUUAGAAUAGAAUAGGCUAUUUUAGGUGUGACUCUGUGUGUGUGUUGCUUCCUGUUAUAAAAUAUUCUUACUGGAGUUCCCGUCAUGGCUCAGUGGUUAACGAAUCUGACUAGGAACCAUGAGGUUGCAGGUGCGAUCCCUGGCCUUAAGGAUCCGGUGUGGCCGUGAGCUGUGGUGUAGGUUGCAGACGCGGCUCGGAUCCCAAGUAGCUGUGGCUCUGGCAUAGGCUGGUGGCUACAGCUCCGAUUAGAUCCCUAGCCUGGGAACCUCCAUAUGCCACAAGAGCGGCCCAGGAAAU
rnacentral:lncRNA from 1 species